CUUUGUUAGCAAGUUUGCCUUUCUGUGAUUCAGAGCACGCGGAGCGAAUUAAGUGGAGUGAGGGGUGAGUGAGGUCUAUGGGGGUAAGCCCCCCCGCCUCCCCGUAGACCUCCUGGAAUGCCUGGAACAGCUCAGCAACCUGGGCACAGGUGGCUUGAGACAACCUAGCCAUUCGGGCCUGCUGCCAGAGUGAACGCCACAGGGAGGCCUGCCGGGUCUGGGGAGCAUGAGCUGGUCAGGCCCCCAGUAGACCCCUUGCAGGCUGAUCUCCAUCUCCAUGCAGAGUCUGUAUCCUAGAAAUCCAACCUGAGAUCCUGCGGCACCGAGAAAGGGAAGCUGUUUCAAGAGAUAGGAAUUGUCAGAAAAAGCCGGAGAAGGUGGUGUUAAAGGAAAACAUUGAGAAUGGGGAGUGAAGACGAGGGUUUUUCGUAGCAGAAGAUGGAUCUUCGAAAGCCAGGAGGCAGAGGAGAGCAACGCUGUCGGUGAGAUAAAGCUGGAGAUUUCUGCUACGUGCAGCACAUACUGCUAAUCCUCUCUCAUCUCCAGGAAGUUUUCAAAAACCUGCUUCUGUAACUAGUGGACAGGUCUUCUGGAUCCAAGGUCACCUGCUGGGGAGAAAGAGAAGCCUUUGGAUAAACAUCACAAGUUUUCCUGGAACAUGGAUUUUAUUUAAGAUUUUUUGGAAAGAAGGGAAUAAGGUUUUUACCUUUGUAAUGUUUUUACAAAUAUUUUCAAAAGUGUAACAUGUAUAUGUGCUCAUUUUAGAAAAUUUGAUCAGUAUAAAAUAUUAAAGAAGAAAGUAAAAGCUCAUUUGGAAUCUUAUCUGUUGGAAGGAAUCACUGUCUUGCUAUAUGUUGGUGAAUAUCCUUUUGAUGAUGUGUAUGUGUGUCAGUGUGUGUUUGUAACUUGAAUUUUUAAAGUUUGAGAAUAUAUUCUAGUCGUCUU
rnacentral:lncRNA from 10 species